rnacentral:rRNA from 1 species
UGGCGGACGGGUGAGUAACGCGUGGGCAACCUGCCUUACACAGGGGGAUAACACUUAGAAAUAGGUGCUAAAACCGCAUAAGCGCACAGCUUCGCAUGAAGCGGUGUGAAAAACUCCGGUGGUGUAAGAUGGACCCGCGUCUGAUUAGCUUGUUGGCGGGGUAACGCCCACCAAGGCGACGAUCAGUAGCCGGCCUGAGAGGGCGGACGGCCACAUUGGGACUGAGACACGGCCCAGACUCCUACGGGAGGCAGCAG